UCGAACGGCAGCACGGGGGCAACCCUGAGUGGCGAGUGGCGAACGGGUGAGUAAUGCAUCGGAACGUGCCCAGUAGUGGGGGAUAACUAGUCGAAAGAUUAGCUAAUACCGCAUACGACCUAUGGGUGAAAGCGGGGGACCGUAAGGCCUCGCGCUAUCGGAGCGGCCGAUGUCUGAUUAGCUAGUUGGUGGGGUAAAGGCCCACCAAGGCGACGAUCAGUAGCUGGUCUGAGAGGACGACCAGCCACACUGGGACUGAGACACGGCCCAGACUCCUACGGGAGGCAGCAGUGGGGAAUUUUGGACAAUGGGCGCAAGCCUGAUCCAGCCAUGCCGCGUGCGGGAAGAAGGCCUUCGGGUUGUAAACCGCUUUUGGCAGGAACGAAACGGCGCGGGCGAAUAUCUCGCGCUAAUGACGGUACCUGCAGAGUAAGCACCGGCUAACUACGUGCCAGCAGCCGCGGUGAUACGUAGGGUGCAAGCGUUA
rnacentral:rRNA from 1 species